UACGGGGGGGGUAAGCGUUGUUCGGAAUUACUGGGCGUAAAGGGCGCGUAGGCGGUUCGGUAAGUCCUGUGUGAAAUCCCUCGGCUCAACUGAGGAACUGCACGGGAGACUGCCGGGCUUGAGUUCGGGAGAGGGAAGCGGAAUUCCGGGUGUAGCGGUGAAAUGCGUAGAUAUCCGGAGGAACACCGGUGGCGAAGGCGGCUUCCUGGACCGACACUGACGCUGAGGCGCGAAAGCUAGGGGAGCAAACGGG
rnacentral:rRNA from 1 species